rnacentral:rRNA from 1 species
CACCUCUAGCAUUACAAGUAUUAGAGGCACUGCCUGCCCAGUGACUUAAGUUUAACGGCCGCGGUAUCCUGACCGUGCAAAGGUAGCAUAAUCACUUGUUCCUUAAUUAGGGACUAGAAUGAAUGGCCAAACGAGGGUUCAACUGUCUCUUAUUUCUAAUCAGUGAAAUUGACCUUUCCGUGAAGAGGCGGAAAUAUCAUUAUAAGACGAGAAGACCCUAUGGAGCUUUAAUCUUCAACCCAAUAUUAUAACAUAAAACCUAUGGGACUAAAUCAAGAUAAUAUGGGCCCGAGAUUUCGGUUGGGGUGACCUCGGAGAACAAAAAAACCUCCGAACGAUUAUAACCAAAACCCACAAGUUAAAGUAAUAUUUUAUCCAAUUGACCCAAAGCAUUUGAUCAACGGACCAAGUUACCCUAGGGAUAACAGCGCAAUCCUAUUCAAGAGUUCAUAUCGACAAUAAGGGUUUACGACCUCGAUGUUGGAUCAGGACAUCCCAAUGGUGCAGAAGCUAUUAAAGGUUCGUUUGUUCAACGAUUAAAGUCCU